rnacentral:rRNA from 1 species
UACGUAGGGCGCAAGCGUUUGUCCGGAAUUAUUGGGCGUAAAGAGCUCGUAGGCGGUGUGUCGCGUCGGCCGUGAAAACCUGGGGCUCAACUCUGGGCGUGCGGUCGAUACGGGCAUCACUUGAGUUCGGCAGGGGAGACUGGAAUUCCUGGUGUAGCGGUGAAAUGCGCAGAUAUCAGGAGGAACAGCCGGUGGCGAAGGCGGGUCUCUGGGCCGAUACUGACGUGAGGAGCGAAAGCAUGGGUAGCGAACAGG